rnacentral:lncRNA from 1 species
GGGGGAGAAUGGGCAUCCCACCCCAGCACUUUCUAGGAAGAAGGGCAGCAUUUUGAAGGGCUGGAAGUAGAGGAAGGAGGUUGCGGGUAGAAGACUCCAUACUUUCUGUGACGCCUAUUCCUUAGGAGAGCCUUUAUAUAACCAAAGAUAUUUUUGGACCAUGAAUUCAGAAAUUCUCGGAGCCACCCAUCAGUGCCUGAGCUUCAGUGAGUCCAUAUCCCAUGUCACCCACGGCAAAGGAGACUCUAAGACUUCUGAAGAGUUUCUUGCUUCUUUCCUGUGGGGCAGUGACUCCACUUCCCAGCAGUAAUGGAAUAUCCUGAAUUAGCUACAUUAAUGUUAGAACCAUUUGGACCUCACCCAGGACUUCAACUACAUUAUGAGUAACUCCUGGACGAUUGGCACAGAAGAAGGCACAAGGUUCUAGUAUGUUACGUUUAUGUUCCCCUGCUUUCUACAAUCCUGUUCAAAGAGUUGCUGACUUAACCACAGAGAGGAUUCCAGAACCUGAGACACAGAAUAAACUUGAGCAAUCAUAGUCCAUCCACUUCAUUGUCUCAUCAAAAACCAAAGGUCCAGUGAAGCUCUGGAACUCAACGCUGUAAAGGAGCGAAGGAGCUUCUAUACAGAGCCUGGAUGCCUGUCUCCUUAUCCU